CAUCACCAGUUCCCGUAUGAUCACCGAAGUUAAGCAACGUCGAGCCUGGUUAGAUGGGUGCCUGCUUGGGAAUACCAGGUGAUGUAAG